UACGUAGGCAGCGAGCGUUGUUCGGAGUUACUGGGCGUAAAGGGUGUGUAGGCGGUUGUUUAAGUUUGGUGUGAAAUCCCCAGGCUUAACUUGGGAACUGCAUCCGAUACUGGAUGGCUUGAAUCCGGGAGAGGGAUGCGGAAUUCCAGGUGUAGCGGUGAAAUGCGUAGAUAUCUGGAGGAACACCGGUGGCGAAGGCGGCAUCCUGGACCGGCAUUGACGCUGAUGAGCGAAAGCCAGGGGAGCAAACGGG
rnacentral:rRNA from 1 species